rnacentral:rRNA from 1 species
GAUGAACGCUGGCGGCGUGCCUAACACAUGCAAGUCGAACGGACGGACCAUAAGCUUUCGUCCUUGCUGUUAGCGCCGGCCGGGUGAGUAACCCGUAGAUACCCUACCUCUAAUACUGGGUUAACUUCGGGAAACCGGUGCUAAUACCGGCGAAUAUUUUGAACCGCAUGGUUCAAAAGUGAUAGACGGUCUUCCUGUUUCUUUUCGACGGUGCCGCGCUGCAUUAGCUAGUUGGUAAGGUAACGGCUUAUCAAGGCAACGAUGCAUAGCCGACCUGAGAGGAGGAUCGGGCACACUGGAACUGAGACAGGGUCCAGACUCCUACGGGAGGCAGCAGUGGGGAAUAUUGGACAAUGGGCGAAAGCCUGACGGAGCAACGCCGCGUGGGUGAAGAAGGGCUUCGGAUCGUAAAGCGCUGUUAUUAGGAAAGAACAGAAGUGUAUGUAACUGUGGACGUGUUGACGGUACCUAAUGAGAAAGCACCGGCUAACUACGUG